GCAUAAUCCUGUCACAACGUCAAUGUACCCCUGUAACAUAUUCAUCCUCACCUUGCGGCAUCUGCAGUAAUUGCCUUGCUAACAAACGUGGUAGUGCCGUUCAGCGGCCAUACGUCAAUGUGUCUGACUCCUGCAGCAUGUUGGGGGAUGCUGGCCGCUGCGGAUCCACACUAAUUUGCAACCCCAUGUCCGCCCACAGCAUUGAUGACGUUGGCGUGCGUGUGACGUCACGUAAAGGCUCGGGUACGACCAAUCGGAUCUGAGAAAGGCUUGUUUAAACUCCUUUUCCCUUUUCCUCAUUGCCCUGUCAGGGUUUCCCUAGUGGUUGUCCGAGAGUGUGUUCCUGAGCGUUUAUUUCUGGUUAUUGACUUUGGCUUCGUUUUGACUUCCCUGUAUUCUGGUAUCCCUGACUUUUGGCUUUCUCUUAUUGUUGUGUCCCAUUCUGUGUCUCUGACCUCGGCAAGUAUUCUGACUAUUCUUUGGUACAUUAAGUCCAGCCAUUUUAAGUCCUGGUAGGACGUUACCUUUUAGUUCUAGGUGUGAUACAAUUCUACGUGCUGGAUCAAUUAGUAAUCCCGACAACCCCAUUCUUAUCAGGUCCUACUCUAGCAACCCAAUGCCUGCUCUUAUGAGAUUUUCACUUAUUUGGGAAAUGCUUCCACCUGGGACUCUCUGCAGGGCAAGGUUAAAUAGAGCACUGGAAUGAGGCACCUGACAUGGCCUAUUUAUUU